rnacentral:rRNA from 1 species
UACGGAGGAUGCGAGCGUUAUCCGGAUUUAUUGGGUUUAAAGGGUGCGUAGGCGGACUGUCAAGUCAGCGGUAAAAUACGGGGGCUCAACCUCCGCCCGCCGUUGAAACUGGCAGUCUCGAGUUGGAGAGAAGUAUGCGGAAUGCGCGGUGUAGCGGUGAAAUGCAUAGAUAUCGCGCAGAACUCCGAUUGCGAAGGCAGCAUGCCGGCUCCACACUGACGCUGAGGCACGAAAGCGUGGGUAUCGAACAGG